rnacentral:rRNA from 1 species
CCUACGGGUGACAGCAGUGAGGAAUAUUGGUCAAUGGGCGGAAGCCUGAACCAGCCAAGUCGCGUGAGGGAUUAAGGCCCUGCGGGUCGUAAACCUCUUUUGCCGGGGAGCAGUGGUCCGGACGAGUCCGGGCCGGGAGAGUACCCGGAGAAAAAGCAUCGGCUAACUCCGUGCCAGCAGCCGCGGUAAUACGGAGGAUGCGAGCGUUAUCCGGAUUUAUUGGGUUUAAAGGGUGCGUAGGCGGGCAUUUAAGCCGGCGGUCAAAUGUCGGGGCUCAACCCCGGCCUGCCGUCGGAACUGGGUGCCUUGAGUGGGCGAGAAGUAUGCGGAAUGCGUGGUGUAGCGGUGAAAUGCAUAGAUAUCACGCAGAACCCCGAUUGCGAAGGCAGCAUACCGGCGCCCGACUGACGCUGAGGCACGAAAGUGCGGGUAUCGAACAGGAUUAGAUACCCCGGUAGUC